AUUAAUUCAGAGGUCGGUACCUUAAUCUACAUUAAAGUUGUAGUUGUAGGUGUAUGUCCGUAAUUUGUGUUCCAUUUCAUGAAUAAGAUACAUAUUAAUUUUGUUUAUAUACACAAGUGGGGAAUUAUAUUUUAGCUUGUUAUUCAGCUUUGUUCAUAGUACAUUUCUCUUUAUUUUCUUACAUAUAUAUAUAUAUAUAUAUAUGUGAAUGUGAUACACAUGUUCUGACAAUACUCUAAAUUAAUCUGAGUUAUUUAUAGGGUGGAAAUGUUGUAAUUGCAGCUAUUUGCAGAUGGUGUCAUCCAAUUUGAGUAUGGCAUUAAUCCAACACAUAACCUCAAGUUUGGUUCAAUGGUAUGUUGUCAAGAAUAUUUAUGUAGUUGUGCAAGGAAAGUUUCUUUCAUUUCUUUAUAUUGUCAAUUAACAAGGUAUAUGUAAAUUUUACAUGUUUGGUCGAUGCAAGUCUGCCCCAUAGGUUUGUCUCGUUAGUCUGAUGCUUGAUUCAGUACCAUUUAUACAUGACACGGUUAGUUUUAAUAGAUUCAGUUAAGGUUGUAGAGCAUAUACUAUCUGUGAAUUAUCUAAGUCUGAAUCUUGUUGGG
rnacentral:lncRNA from 1 species